GGGCCAGUAGCUCAGUGGUGAGAGCGGCGGGGCUUUCAACCCCAGCAGGUCGUGGGUUCAAAUCCCAUCUGGUCCA
rnacentral:tRNA from 1 species